rnacentral:RNase_P_RNA from 1 species
GGAGUCGGACAGACAGUCGCUGUUUCGCGAGACGACACGCCCCUCCGGGAAUGCCGGUUGGGAAUGCCGAUUCGGGAAUGGAGGAAAGUCCGGGCUCCACAGGGCAGGGUGCCAGGUAACGCCUGGGGGGCGCGAGCCCACGGAAAGUGCAACAGAAAGAUACCGCCAUUAAUUUGGUAAGGGUGAAAUGGUGUGGUAAG